rnacentral:sRNA from 12 species
ACCCUUGUGGUAUGGUGGCAGUUGGCGAAAGCUCUGCAAACGCUUUUCUUUGGGCGUUGGAACACCUAAGCCGUAAGGGUUU